rnacentral:rRNA from 1 species
AGCGAACGCUGGCGGCAUGCCUAACACAUGCAAGUCGCACGGGGGGUCCUCGUCCUCCCAGUCGCGGACGCGUGAGGCACGCGUAGGGACCCGUCGAGGGGUGGUGACUAACCGCGGGAAACUCCGGCUCCUACCGCAUGACGCCGCCGCGUGACUGCCGGCGCCUAAGGGGAAAGCCGCCCGCGGAGGGGCCUGCGUCCGAUUAGCUGGUUGGAGGGGUAGCGGCCCACCAAGGCGACGAUCGUUAGCUGGUCUGAGAGGGUGAUCAGCCACACCGGGACUGAGACACGGCCCAGACUCCUACGGGAGGCAGCAGUGGGGAAUAUUGGACAAUGGGCGCAAGCCUGAUCCAGCAAUGCCGCGUGGGUGAAGAAGGUCUUCGGGUUGUAAAGCCCUUUCGGCGGGGACGAUGGUGACGGUACCCGCAGAAGAAGCCCCGGCUAACUUCGUG